rnacentral:rRNA from 1 species
GACGAACGCUGGCGGCGUGCCUAAUACAUGCAAGUAGAACGCUGAAGGAGGAGCUUGCUCUUCUGGAUGAGUUGCGAACGGGUGAGUAACGCGUAGGUAACCUGCCUGGUAGCGGGGGAUAACUAUUGGAAACGAUAGCUAAUACCGCAUAAAAUUGAUUAUUGCAUGAUAGUCAAUUAAAAGGUGCAAUUGCAUCACUACCAGAUGGACCUGCGUUGUAUUAGCUAGUUGGUGAGGUAACGGCUCACCAAGGCAACGAUACAUAGCCGACCUGAGAGGGUGAUCGGCCACACUGGGACUGAGACACGGCCCAGACUCCUACGGGAGGCAGCAGUAGGGAAUCUUCGGCAAUGGACGGAAGUCUGACCGAGCAACGCCGCGGGAGUGAAGAAGGUUUUCGGAUCGUAAAGCUCUGUUGUAAGAGAAGAACGAGUGUGAGAGUGGAAAGUUCACACUGUGACGGUAGCUUACCAGAAAGGGACGGCUAACUACGUG